CGCGUAGGCGGGGAUGCAAGUCAGAUGUGAAAUCCAUGGGCUCAACUCAUGAACUGCAUUUGAAACUGUGUCUCUUGAGUGCUGGAGAGGUAGAUAGAAUUCCUUGUGUAGCGGUGAAAUGCGUAGAUAUAAGGAAGAACACCAGUGGCGAAGGCGAUCUACUGGACAGUAACUGACGCUGAGGCGCGAGAGCGUGGGGAGCAAACA
rnacentral:rRNA from 1 species